rnacentral:rRNA from 1 species
GAUGAACGCUGGCGGCGUGCCUAAUACAUGCAAGUCGAGCGAACAGACGAGGAGCUUGCUCCUCUGACGUUAGCGGCGGACGGGUGAGUAACACGUGGAUAACCUACCUAUAAGACUGGGAUAACUUCGGGAAACCGGAGCUAAUACCGGAUAAUAUAUUGAACCGCAUGGUCCAAUAGUGAAAGACGGUUUUGCUGUCACUUAUAGAUGGAUCCGCGCCGCAUUAGCUAGUUGGUAAGGUAACGGCUUACCAAGGCGACUAUGCGUAGCCGACCUGAGAGGGUGAUCGGCCGCACUGGAACUGAGACGAGGUCACGACGCCUAAGGGAGGAAGCAGUAUGGAAUCUUCCGCAGUGGUCGGAAGCUUGACGGAGCAAGGCCGCGUAAGUGAUGACGGUCUUCGGUUCGUGAAACUCUGUUAUUAGGGAAGAACAAAUGUGUAAGUAACUAUGCACAUCUUGACGGUAACUAAUCAGAAAGCCACGGCUAACUACGUG